rnacentral:lncRNA from 1 species
AUAAUAUACUUUGAUGAUAUUCAGACCCUCUGUCCCUUCUGUUCCCCCCUGAUCUCCCUCACCAAAUACCUCUCCCAACUUCAUGCCAGAUUGUUUUUUAAGUAACUGACUGAGACCAGGAGUGUUGCAAGUAUGUGGAGAAGUAUAGGUCCAUUCACGGGAUCAUGGGAAACCCCUGAAAAAUGUGACUCUCCCUGUGCUAAAAUCACUGAACUUCCAAACGUUUCUCAACUAGGGUUUCACGGACACUGCCCACAAUCCAUGGAUUUCUGACUAGCUUCAUCUCGUGCCACUCUUGUGCAGGCAGCUCUAGCUACUGUGAGAUCAUGAGUGCAAUGGGUCUUUGUUUCGAGAACAGAAUGCAUUUCAACAGUCCUGCAAGAUCCAACUUUCAAAAAAGUCCACUUUGCAAGAGAAGUUCCUCUAUUUGUUUUCGUGGAUUCAAAGUUUGACACAAUUAGUUCCCUAAAACUAGCUUUUUUUGUAAUCUUGCUAAUAUUUCCAUUCUUUUCCCUUAGGGAAGGAAAUUCUAUUUCAUUGGCUUAUGAUUGCUUCCGUAAGGUUUCCUUCUAUAAUUAGGAGCCUAUGUAAUUUUUUUUUUCGCUAGAAGUGGAAAUCAAAUCUGAUGUCUGCCUUCGGGGAUUUUACCUUUAUUCUAGCAGACAAUACAUAAGAGCUUUUUGCUUCAGAACCAUAGGAGACUCCUCAUUCUCAUAUGUGCCUGACGCCACUUCUCUGUCUUUACUUAAAGUUGCUUUUAUUUGAUGAAAGAAAACCUUAUUGCAUGAAAGAAAAUAUUAUUAUUCCAUGAUACAGGGCAACAACAGGAUAACUGGGAGGAGUCCCAAUAAGGCUCCAUUAUUGAUGGUGUCACAGAAGCCCCUGAUCUGAAUAUUUGCCAAUGAAGAUAUGUGGACAGAAAUAUACUGUGGGACACACUGUGACAUGCUACUGCUUUCCACGGUUGCAGCCUAACUACCAACUCCAAGAGACUUCUUCUGAAGGAUUUGUAUAAUGUCUGCUACAAUGUUAUCCCCCUCAGGUUCUUCCAUAGAGCUCUAAUAUCUUAUCACAUGUGACACCUAGCAAUAAGCUCUAACCUUAGUUUUCUUAAAUAGUGAAACAUAGUUGACUCUUUGUGGUUUUUACUUUUGGCAGGCAACUCACAAAUUGACUAAAAAUUUGAAGUUAUUCCCUUUUCAGCACUAUGAAAUAAUAUGAAAAGUGAAUCUGGUCCAGUUCACUCCCUCCCUCCAUCCACCUCUUAUGUCUAUUUUAUUUCCUCUUUUGAGUGAGAUUCAUGCAUCCUCCCUGAACUCCUCCUUGUUAACUUAGUUUCUUUGGAUCUGUGGAUUACAGCAUGGUUAUCCUGUACUUUAUGACUAAACCACCAACCAUAGAAAACACAUGGUGGGACUCCCGCUGCAUAUGUAGCAGGGGAUGGCCUAGUCGGUCAUCAAUGGGAGGAGAGGCCCUUGGCCCUGUGAAGUUUCUAUGCCCCAGUGUAGGGGAAUGCCAGGGCCAGGAAGCAGGAGUGGGUGGGUUGGGGAGCAGGAGGAAGGGACAGGGGAUUUUCUGAGGUGAAACAAGGAAAGGGGAUAACAUUUGAAAUGUAAAUAAAGAGAAUACCUAAUUUAAAAUAAAAAGAAAAACAAGACCUAAGAAUUCAUUUGGUUAUCAUCCACACUAAUGCACUAGAGAAGGAAACGAAAUAGUUCCAAUGUGCUGGGCAGUGGUGGUGCUCGCCUUUGAUUCCAGCACUUGGGAGGCAGAGGCAGGGGGAUUCCUGCCUUCGAGGAUAGCCUGGUCUACAGAGUGAGUUCCAAGACAGCCAGGGCUAGACAGAGAAACCCUGUCUGGAAAAAAAAACAAAAAACAAAACACCAACAAGAAAAUAGUUACAAUGUACCCUGGAGAAACAACAAUGAAAUAGUUACAAUGUACCCUGGAGAAACAAUGAAAUAGUUACAAUGUACACUGGAGAAACAAUGAAAGGUCGACUUGAUCUGCUACUUCUUCAAACUCUUUAAAACCCAUGCAUUACUUCUUGUUGAGGCAACUGCUUGGGAAGAACAAAGAAAAAAAAAAUCUCUGGAAAAGAUGUCAUUAAAAUCUCUAUGAAGGUGCAUAAGAAGAGACUGAUACAGCCCUCUGAUGAAUAGCGACACUCCAAAUCCUACAGAGAGCCCACUCCUUCAUCACAGGCAUAGCAGCCCAUGUCUCAUUCGUUGGAAGCUUGCAUAACAAUAGGCAUGCAUAAAAUAAAAUCAUGAAAGAACACAGGGAUGACUCUGCCUCAGAUGUGAUUAGAACAACCAAGCCUAGCGUCUGUUCUCCUGACUACACAGUUUACUCUGUGGACAUACGUCCUGUUAUCUUUUUCUGUCUUCUACACCCAAAGCCAAGAUUGAGAUUCCUUGGGCUGGUGACACAGAAACUGCACAUGACUCAGAGUUUGUGUAGGUGUAUGUGAUCAGCCAAAGUCACGUAAGAGAACAAAGGAGCUUUUCAAACCCUCCGCUGACAAGUCUAGGGGAAAUUUAUAUGUGACAAAGCAUCCUUUCUCACAAAUCCAUCAUCGGGGAUGCUUAUUAAAGACCAUGGUAUUUGUUCAUAGAAUCACACAUGAUAUAAG